UGCCAGGACACUUAACUUGAACCACAACUUUGGCACACAUCACAAUAAGCACGUUGAGUUCAAUGCACCAUGGAGUUAUUAAAGAGAUUAUUUUACUUGGGAAACUGAAGUCACUGCUGUCAAGGCGUUGACUGAGACUAUUCAUUCACAAGCUCUACAGUACAGAGCGCGUUUGAAUCGUUGCGGCGAGCUCUGUGUGUCGGAUGAGGGGGCGUCACCAACCAACUGAGCUUAAGGGAAAGUCUGUAUGCGGACCUGUGACUCCACAUGAAUGAGUCAAGUGAAGAACAUACAUGAGAGCACUAUUGCAAAGAGAUUAAGAAGAGGAAGAAGUGGGCAUUUUGAACACACUCAGUGGAACUUGCUUGUGCGCAUUUGCGCAAACUCUCCAAAGUCACUUGGUAACUUGCGCAGAUGCGCAGCUCCAGUCUUUGGACUCUCUCUCAUUCUCAACCCAGGGGUCACCCUGUAUGUAUCUCCUCUGGGGUCUGGUCCUUCGCGGCCCUCCCAUGCAGUUCUGUGGGAACUUGACCAGUCAUCUGAGCAGAUAUGAGAGGCAUGUGGGGAGAGGAAACGGUGGUUUGGUGACUCAGCGUCAUGAAACGUUCCAUUGGCCUUUGGUUCUCCUAAGCUCUUUGAGUCAUCUGCAUCCCUGUGGUCCUGUGAGAUGGGUGUGUUAGUGAGGGGGAGGAAAGUUUUGCUUUCUUCUGUUUCUGCUCCAUUCGUUCCGGGCUUGUAUUGUUUAGUGCUGGGCGUGCGUCUGUCAGGAGAGACAGUGAAUGGUCACAUUGGAAGAGACUGUAAACGACGACUUCCUCCUGCAGAAUGACAUCUGACAUGAACCACAACGCUUGACGUUCAGUGAGCUCAAAGUUUUUAUCCUGCCUUCAUCCUGGGGAGUUUAAUAUGGUUGGAAAAAUAAGAACAAAGACUGUGUGCUUUUCGUGAAAUCCUUUGUAAUUAAAUGAGUCGAUAAAUGCAGGCUCUUUCUGUGUAAAUACUAUUACAGUUUUGUAUAUGCCAAAAUUUCUAUGAAUGCAUUGAAUUCUUGAUAUCUUUUCUCAUAUUUUAUAAACCAAUAAGCCACUUGAAAUCGUGCAUUACAUUGAUUAUAAAAGGGGAUUUGAGUAAUGCAAAAGAAAACCCCCGAUACCCCAAGCUGAAAGUCAGAUCUUUAUGAAAUUGCAACCCUGCGGUGGUUUUCUUCUGUAAAUACAGUCAUUACUCGACCUAAAUUUGAGAUAUUUUUGAAUGCACAAUUAUUUAUUGUCACACUAAACUCAUUCGGGUUUGUAAAUGCAAACAGCAGCCCGGCUGUGCCCAAUAUCACUGAAGUCAGUGAAGUUCAAAUGAACACCGAUCACCAGCAAUAAAUAAAAACUAUCAGUUUGACAUUUGUCUGUUUCUGUGGUCAGACUUGUGACUGUUUGUUUUAACGGUGUGUUUACAUCUGUCCUCCUACAACACGUCUGCCAGUCGCUGGUUGAACUGUGGUUAACAUGCGCGCACUUUAUUCCCAGACUGUGUGUGUGUGAGGACACGUGAGGCUCUUAAAUGUCACACACACGACAUGAGAUCUGCACGACAAGGUUGACAUACAAAUACUGACUUUUGCAAAAUCUUUGGGUAUCAAUUUAGAUAUAAAGAGGUUUUUUAGUGAAGAAUGCAUUGGAUGCAUUAAUAAACAAUGCUGCUAUUAAUUAUAAAUUAUUAUUUAUGGCUGAUUACAUAACAGAUACUUGAUUUAUAAUUUUUUUGUGCAAAUAUAAUUACGAAAUAUUUCAAGUUUAUUUUGAUUAAUCUUAUAUUUAAAGCAGUCAUCUCAUUGCACAUCUCUGCUUUAAAUGCAUACUCCAGUUUGGAGAAAAUGCAGAUUUGCAGAGAUGUUGCAUUCAGAUCUUCCACUAAUAACACUCUUGGGCGUUGUGAGCGUUAGAUCAGACGGUUGAAUCAUGCAUUUUGCAUGUCAGAAAGCAGCGUGUUGGGUUAUUGAAGGUCACAAGAAUAUUUGUGAUGAUAAAUAGUGAUUUCAGAGUGAGUCACGGUUGAUUAAAAUAAGUCAACUUGUGUAAGAUUGAGUGGUUUUCAAAGCAUCUUUAUGAAUGAUUCUUAACCCAAUAUAAAAAUGUUGCUAAAAUCUGUAGGUGUGCAAAUAAAAAACAAAUAUAAAUGUAAAUCAUUACUUUCAUAAUCAUUCAUUAAUCUGUGUAGUGCUUAGGUUAAUUUUUGCAUUAUGCAUGCAUGUUAUUAAAAUAAAACCAAGUUAACCAAGUAAUGUUAAAACAAAAAGAUUAAAUGAUUGUAUAAGUUAAAAUUAAUUUAUAACAUUACAUAUUACAAAUUUUGGGUUAUUUCGGAUGUUUUUCAUUCUAUCAUAAUAUCUUGGUUUCAUAUAGCUAAUGUUGACAUUUUCUCAAAUGUCAAAACAUAAGAUGCGUGAUGUUAUUGAAUGAUAAGAAACAUGUUGGGCUGAUAGUGAACAGAUGUGCAGAGGGAGCUGAUCGGGUAAUCAUAGGAUAGGUCAUUUAAGGUUAAAGGUUUGAACCUGUGCCAGGAUUACGACCUACUAACUUGAUUGGGGUCACAUGAUACUGUAGAUAUGUGUGACUGUUUACUCAGCAUCAGUAAACAACACACAUUUAAAGAAAGUGUUUGUUGUCAUGUUUUGAUCUUAUUCACUUCCUAAAUUUAAAAAGCAAUUGUUGUUGAAAGAUAAACUUUGUAAUGAAAAAUCUAAUGUGUGAUAUAAUUAGAUAUAUUUAGUGUUUUAUAAUUUUAAAGAGUUGCUUUUAUCCAAUGCAUUUUGGAGUUUAAGCUAUACAUUUUUCAGUCUUUUGCAUUUGUAAACUAACAAAACAAUUUUAUAAAAUGAGUCUUUAGAUUGCAAUCAGCUUUUUAUAGACAGUAUUUCACAUGCUGUAUUAAAUAGCUGUGUUGAUGUAAAUAAUUUCUAAGGUAUAAAAAGAUAGUUCUGUAUGUUUUCUUUAAAAACACACACACACACACACACAAACAGUGGAAGUUUAUAUGAAGGGUGUAAUUGUUUGAAUCAUAUAAAGAUAUAAGUAAAUGUAUAAUCAUGUUCAACCUUAAAAUUCAAAUAUCUUGGAGUCAGGCCUGCAUCUACACUUCUCACAUCUGUGUUACCUCUGUGUUCUGUUAAAUUUCUUUUAAUCUCAAGAUCGAGUGAAGAACAGAUUUUGCAUUGAGAGACAGAAAUCACACAGCUGUGACUUUAUACCUAAAGGUCAAGUCUUUUCUAGACAUCUCUUACUUUAUCUUAAUGUCAUAAGCAAAUAGAUCACAAGCUCCAAUUUCUGUUUUAAUACAUUAUAUGACUUAUUGUAAUCAGGGCUGGAAACGGGGGAACCCCGGGGGGACGGCGUCUGGGGAGUUAAUUUCGAGGGGGGGUGUUGUUCCAACUCAGACUAGUUUUUGAAAUGCAUUAUUUUACAAUGCAUCAUCAAGCUUGCCACGUGACACUACACAGUCACAGAGGCACAAAAUCAUUCACGAUUUUUCCUCCUUUUUAAAAUAUACAUUAUAUACAUAAUUUCACACUUUACACAUAUACACAUCUUUAAUUUGAGGACGAUUUUAUUGUUAAAAGUUUGUGUAACUAUACUCAAGAAACCAUACUUAGGAGGAAACAUAAUUUUUUUAAACGUUAUUUAAACCCAUCUAAUUUUAACUUUAUUUUAAAGUAAUCUAAAAUCACCCCCCCAGAGUACCCCAGUGAAUUUCUGCUUUUUCCAGCCCUGAUUAUAAUACAGUAAAAGCACACUGCUUUAAUGAUAAAUUAUCACAGUUUGUCAAAGGUGUUGUUGUAUUUUGGCUUUUAACAGCACAUAUAACAUUGACAGUGUUUACUAAUUCAGAAAUCAAACAUUUCGGCUGAAUCUGUCACAGGUGUAUAAUCUGAAGUCUCUGCUCAAUAACUUGCAACACGACAUGAAACUUGAAAUAAAAUCAGGAAGUUGCUCUACUUUUAAAAGCAUGCGUAAAGCGUCUCUGGCAGUGGAAAAAAUUACAUAUGAGAAAAUAAAACCCCCUGAAAUUACCGUCAAUAGGUUAUAUUUAAUAUUUUAAACCUUUAAUAAGUCUACUGUAUAAAGCUGUUUACAGGUAGCUGAGAUGUCAGUCAGUGAGAGCAGUUUACUGUGGUGUUUUUUUAUUAAAAUAUAUGCAUUGUUUUUGUAUAAUGAUUCAUUUGAUUCAAUAUCCAAACUUAAAAAAAUAGUCCACAAAACAAAGAAUUAAAUAUUUAAUGAAAAAAUUAUUGAUAAAACUUUACUGGGGGGGGGUAGUAAAUGUAUUAGUUAACAUGAACUAACAAUAUUUGUGACUCUGGAGCCAUAAGGGUAAUUUGAGAUUUAUAUAUCAUCUGAAAGUUAAAUAAAUUAGCUUUCAAUUGAUGUAUGGUUUGUUAGGAUAUGACAAUAUUUGGCAUAGAUACAACUAUUUGAAAAUCUGAAUCUAGGGGUUCAAAAAAAUAAAAAAAGUCUGAAUGAAGUCCUAAGCAACACAUAUUACUAAUGAUAAAUGCAUUUUUUAUAUAUUUAUGAAAGGAAUUUAGAAACUAUCUUCAUGGAACAUGAUCUUUAUUCUUUACUUAAUAUCUUAAUGAUUUUUGCAUACAAAAAUAUAUAAUUUUGACCCAUACAAUGUAUGCAAUGCGAAUUAUGAGUGAUUUUUUGGUCUAGGUUCACAUUAAGCAUUAUUAAUCAUUGUUAAUGUUAGUUAAUGCCAAUACCAUUGUUCAUGUUAGUUCAUUGUGUAACUGAUGUUAACAAAUAAAAAUUUAUUAACAAGAACGAUUAAUAAAUGCUGUAUAGAAUUUAUAGACUGAAGUAUUGUCCAUUGUUAGUUCAUGUUACAUAAUAAAUUAACUUAUGUUAACUAAUUUAAUCUUAUUGUAAAGAUAUUUAGGUCAUAUGAAGUCGGGUGAUACUAAAAUUCAUGUUUGAGAAGAUGAUUAUUUUAAUGACUUUAUUAGGGCUGUCAAAAGAUUAAUCGC